UACGUAGGGGGCAAGCGUUGUCCGGAAUUAUUGGGCGUAAAGAGCUCGUAGGCGGUCUGUCGCGUCUGCUGUGAAAACUCAGGGCUUAACCCUGAGCUUGCAGUGGGUACGGGCAGACUAGAGUGCGGUAGGGGAGACUGGAAUUCCUGGUGUAGCGGUGAAAUGCGCAGAUAUCAGGAGGAACACCGGUGGCGAAGGCGGGUCUCUGGGCCGAUACUAACGCUGGAGGAG
rnacentral:rRNA from 1 species